rnacentral:lncRNA from 1 species
UUCGUGAGAUACCUCAACCAUCUAACAGAAUAUCACUGCACGAAUUUCUCAAUUACAAUUGACCGAAGUUCAGAAACCGGGGGAUAACACACCUAGCUACACUGUUUCACCAUCGAAAUUAAUUUACGGGACGACGCCUGUAAGCGGAGGAUGCAAGAAGAAUGGUUAUUAAACUGCCAGAGUUUUGAGGUGCAUCAGUUCAUAAAUAUUAGGACGCUUACGGAAGCUUAAGGAAAGUUAAGGAAAGCUAUUAAGAAAUUAUCUAAUCUCCCGAGAAUUGGAGAUUAGAGAAGA